rnacentral:tRNA from 1 species
GGCACCGUGGCAAAGUGGUUAGCGCGUCAGUCUUUAACCCAGAGGUAAUGGGUUCAAUGCUCGUCGCUGCUA